CCUACGGUAGACAGCAGUGGGGAAUAUUGCACAAUGGGGGAAACCCUGAUGCAGCAACGCCGCGUGAGUGAGGAAGUAUUUCGGUAUGUAAAGCUCUAUCAGCAGGGCAUAGAAAAGAAGGUACCUGAAAAAGAAGCCCCGGCUAACUACGUGCCAGCAGCCGCGGUAAUACGUAGGGGGCAAGCGUUUAUCCGGAUUUACUGGGUGUAAAGGGAGCGUAGACGGAAAGGCAAGUCAGAAGUGAAAGCCCAAGGCUCAACCAUGGGACUGCUUUUGAAACUGUCAAACUAGAGUACGGGAGAGGUAAGAGGAAUUCCUAGGGUAGCGGUGAAAUGCGUAGAUAUUAGGAGGAACACCAGUGGCGAAGGCGUCUUACUGGACCGAAACUGACGUUGAGGCUCGAAAGCGUGGGGAGCAAACAGGAUUAGAUACCCCAGUAGUC
rnacentral:rRNA from 1 species